UACGUAGGCAGCGAGCGUUGUUCGGAGUUACUGGGCGUAAAGGGUGUGUAGGCGGUUGUUUAAGUUUGGUGUGAAAUCUCCCGGCUCAACUGGGAGGGUGCGCCGAAUACUGAAUGACUUGGAGUGCGGGAGAGGAGAGUGGAAUUCCUGGUGUAGCGGUGAAAUGCGUAGAUAUCAGGAGGAACACCUGUGGUGUAGACAGCUUACUGGACCAUUUCUGACGCUGAGACACGAAAGCGUGGGUAGCAAACAGG
rnacentral:rRNA from 1 species